AUCACAGCGUGCGAGAGGACGGUCGCGGUUCUCUAGGCGCAGCGACUGAUGCCAAUCGCUGCCGGGAGCGGGGUUGGCGCCGAGCAGGCAUACAUACGCUUAAAAUAAAAUAACCAUCAAGGGAAGGCAAGGAAGAAGCAUGUGCACGUUGAAGCUCGUGCCUCACUGCCUGAUGAUGGUGAAACGCCCUCAUGGCGCAUGGGAGGGGGGCCCCUGUAGUGCUGUCUGCCCAAGUGCCGAGCACGACCAGAGCAGGUGCGGACAGCAGCACGCAUGGUGUUUUGAUCACACACGACACACGGCCUCGGCGUCCCGUCCCGCCUGCCUGCACCUAAUCCAUAUUCUAUCCGCUGUCGUAUUCGCGUGGCAUGCAGGCUAGCCGGCCGGUCGGCCGGUGAGCAACUGUAAAACCCGCGACGCGCCAACACUCGGUUCCUGGAGCUGAUGGCCGUUCUCGUCUUCCUGGCGAUCGCCCUGGUUAGAGAAAGCUGUGCGGGAUCGAUGGACCGUUGAACGGAGGCGCGUCUGCUCUGCCGCAUGUAUUAUAUUGAUUCAGGUGGACGGUCGGGUUUCAGAGAGACUGCUGCUCAAGUCUUUUUACGUGGGACUGUGGGAGUGCAGCUGCUGCAUCCAUCGAUCGCAGCGCUAGGUUCUCCAGAAACCGAGGCAAGAGGAGUGCUUGUGGUACCUCUUCAUCUAGCGUGCACAACACCCACCCGCUACUACUGUAGUAGCCGUAGGGGGCACCGUUGAAGAAGUAGAGGGAGUACUGGCGCCGUCACAGGGAGGGGAGAGGCCACCGUUGAUUCGUUGAAGCCAGUCUGAACGGUGGUGCCUGGACAAGUAGCGCCUGGGCCCCAGCUGCUCAGACUUCGGACAACCAGUGGAUCGUGAUCUGUGCCUUGUGCGUUCAAUGCUACUGGUGGUAGCAAUAGCAUUGAAGCAAACGUCACGCAGGCAGAGAACGCGAGGCUGCGCUGUUACUCACGUUUUCCUUUUCUUGUGCUACUUCUGAACAUCAGAAUCAGUGCUCCGUUAGAAGUGCACUCUUGUCCGUACGAUGGCAUCUAGCUGAUCACAUUUCAUCGUCA